rnacentral:rRNA from 1 species
AGAGUUUGAUCCUGGCUCAGGACGAACGCUGGCGGCGCGUCUUAAGCAUGCAAGUCGGACGGCAAGAGAAGUGCUUGCACUUCUCCUAGAGUGGCGGACUGGUGAGUAACAGGUGGGUGACAUACCCUUCAGAUGGGGAUAGCCGGUAGAAAUACCGGGUAAUACCGAAUACGCUCGUGCAUCUCGGAAGUGUACGAGGAAAGGAGCUACGGCUUCGCUGUUGGAUUGGCCCGCUUCCCAUUAGCUAGUUGGUGAGGUAAUGGCCCACCAAGGCUAUGAUGGGUAUCCGGCCUGAGAGGGUGAUCGGACACAUUGGGACUGAGAUACGGCCCAGACUCCUACGGGAGGCAGCAGCUAAGAAUAUUCCGCAAUGGACGAAAGUCUGACGGAGCGACGCCGCGUGGAUGAUGAAGGCCGGAAGGUUGUAAAAUCCUUUAGCAAGUGAGGAAUAAGCAGAGCAGGGAAUGGCUCUGUGGUGACUGUAGCUUGAGAAUAAGCAUCGGCUAAUUACGUGCCAGCAGCCGCGGUAACACGUAAGAUGCUAGCGUUGUUCGGAAUUAUUGGGCGUAAAGGGCAUGUAGGCGGUUAUUCAAGUCUGGUGUGAAAUCUCGGAGCUUAACUCCGAAACUGCAUUGGAAACUAGAUAACUAGAAUUGCUGAGGGGAAGCCGGAAUUCCAGGUGUAGGGGUGAAAUCUGUAGAGAUCUGGAAGAACACCAAUGGCGAAGGCAGGCUUCUAGCAGAUAAUUGACGCUGAGGUGCGAAGGGACGGGGAGCAAACAGGAUUAGAUACCCUGGUAGUCCGUCCAGUAAACUAUGUACACUAGAUGUCCGGGCAGGAGCUCGGGUGUCGCAGCAAACGCUUUAAGUGUACCGCCUGGGAAGUAUGCCCGCAAGGGUGAAACUCAAAGGAAUUGACGGGGGCCCGCACAAGCGGUGGAUUAUGUGGUUUAAUUCGAUGGUACGCGAGGAACCUUACCUGGGUUUGACAUAUAGUGGAAUUGUGUAGAGAUACGCAAGCGUAGCAAUACGUCGCUAUACAGGUGCUGCAUGGCUGUCGUCAGCUCGUGCCGUGAGGUGUUGGGUUAAGUCCCGCAACGAGCGCAACCCCUACUGCCAGUUACUAACAGGUUAUGCUGAGGACUCUGGCGGAACUGCCGGUGACAAACCGGAGGAAGGUGGGGAUGACGUCAAGUCAUCAUGGCCUUUAUAUCCAGGGCUACACACGUAAUACAAUGGUGAGUACAGAGUGAUGCGAAGCCGCGAGGUGGAGCCAAACGCAGAAAACUCACCGUAGUUCGGAUUGGAGUCUGAAACCCGACUCCAUGAAGUUGGAAUCGCUAGUAAUCGCGCAUCAGCACGGUGCGGUGAAUACGUUCCCGGGCCUUGUACACACCGCCCGUCACACCAUCCGAGUGGGGGGUACCCGAAGUCGUGAGUCUAACCGCAAGGAGGACCAUGCCGAAGGUACGUUCCGUGAGGGGGGUGAAGUCGUAACAAGGUAGUCGUACCGGAAGGUGCGGCUGGAUCACCUCCUU